ensembl:misc_RNA Gm28000 predicted gene, 28000
UCAUGGGAAAAAUUUGGGUAUGAGUUUCAGGUGUUCUGUGUAGCCUGUGAAUUUCCUCCCUAUAUUUGUUA